ACUCUAAGCGGUGGAUCACUCGGCUCAUGGGUCGAUGAAGAACGCAGCAAACUGUGCGUCAUCGUGUGAACUGCAGGACACAUGAACAUCGACAUUUUGAACGCAUAUCGCAGUCCAUGCUGUUAUGUACUUUAAUUAAUUUUAUAGUGCUGCUUGGACUACAUAUGGUUGAGGGUUGUAAGACUAUGCUAAUUAAGUUGCUUAUAAAUUUUUAUAAGCAUAUGGUAUAUUAUUGGAUAAAUAUAAUAAUUUUUAUUCAUAAUAUUAAAAAAUAAAUGAAAAACAUUAUCUCACAUUUGAAUGUGAAAAACGAAGAGAAAUAUUUUCUUUUUCAAUCAAAUAAUACUGAGAAAUGUCUAGCAUAAAAAAUUGAAAUAUUUUUCAUCUAGAAUUGUCUCUUAUUAAUGAUUCGGAAAUAGAAAAAUCUUGGUUAUGUUAUUAUUCUUCGUUGGUUCGUUAAAAAUGGAUAAAUAAAAACUUUGCAUACAAGAAUUAAUAAAAAUGUUAUAACGAAUUUAAUUAAAUGUUUUAUCAUUAUAUAUAAAGAAUUUAUGGCAAGAUAAAGUUAUAUACAACCUCAACUCAUAUGGGACUACCCCCUGAAUUUAAGCAUAUUAAUUAGGGGAGGAAAAGAAACUAACAAGGAUUUUCUUAGUAGCGGCGAGCGAAAAGAAAACAGUUCAGCACUAAGUCACUUUGUCUAUAUGGCAAAUGUGAGAUGCAGUGUAUGGAGCGUCAAUAUUCUAGUAUGAGAAAUUAACGAUUUAAGUCCUUCUUAAAUGAGGCCAUUUACCCAUAGAGGGUGCCAGGCCCGUAUAACGUUAAUGAUUACUAGAUGAUGUUUCCAAAGAGUCGUGUUGCUUGAUAGUGCAGCACUAAGUGGGUGGUAAACUCCAUCUAAAACUAAAUAUAACCAUGAGACCGAUAGUAAACAAGUACCGUGAGGGAAAGUUGAAAAGAACUCUGAAUAGAGAGUUAAACAGUACGUGAAACUGCUUAGAGGUUAAGCCCGAUGAACCUGAAUAUCCGUUAUGGAAAAUUCAUCAUUAAAAUUGUAAUAUUUAAAUAAUAUUAUGAGAAUAGUGUGCAUUUUUUCCAUAUAAGGACAUUGUAAUCUAUUAGCAUAUACCAAAUUUAUCAUAAAAUAUAACUUAUAGUUUAUUCCAAUUAAAUUGCUUGCAUUUUAACACAGAAUAAAUGUUAUUAAUUUGAUAAAGUGCUGAUAGAUUUAUAUGAUUACAGUGCGUUAAUUUUUCGGAAUUAUAUAAUGGCAUAAUUAUCAUUGAUUUUUGUGUUUAUUAUAUGCACUUGUAUGAUUAACAAUGCGAAAGAUUCAGGAUACCUUCGGGACCCGUCUUGAAACACGGACCAAGGAGUCUAACAUAUGUGCAAGUUAUUGGGAUAUAAACCUAAUAGCGUAAUUAACUUGACUAAUAAUGGGAUUAGUUUUUUAGCUAUUUAUAGCUAAUUAACACAAUCCCGGGGCGUUCUAUAUAGUUAUGUAUAAUGUAUAUUUAUAUUAUUUAUGCCUCUAACUGGAACGUACCUUGAGCAUAUAUGCUGUGACCCGAAAGAUGGUGAACUAUACUUGAUCAGGUUGAAGUCAGGGGAAACCCUGAUGGAAGACCGAAACAGUUCUGACGUGCAAAUCGAUUGUCAGAAUUGAGUAUAGGGGCGAAAGACCAAUCGAACCAUCUAGUAGCUGGUUCCUUCCGAAGUUUCCCUCAGGAUAGCUGGUGCAUUUUAAUAUUAUAUAAAAUAAUCUUAUCUGGUAAAGCGAAUGAUUAGAGGCCUUAGGGUCGAAACGAUCUUAACCUAUUCUCAAACUUUAAAUGGGUAAGAACCUUAACUUUCUUGAUAUGAAGUUCAAGGUUAUGAUAUAAUGUGCCCAGUGGGCCACUUUUGGUAAGCAGAACUGGCGCUGUGGGAUGAACCAAACGUAAUGUUACGGUGCCCAAAUUAACAACUCAUGCAGAUACCAUGAAAGGCGUUGGUUGCUUAAAACAGCAGGACGGUGAUCAUGGAAGUCGAAAUCCGCUAAGGAGUGUGUAACAACUCACCUGCCGAAGCAACUAGCCCUUAAAAUGGAUGGCGCUUAAGUUGUAUACCUAUACAUUACCGCUAAAGUAGAUGAUUUAUAUUACUUGUGAUAUAAAUUUUGAAACUUUAGUGAGUAGGAAGGUACAAUGGUAUGCGUAGAAGUGUUUGGCGUAAGCCUGCAUGGAGCUGCCAUUGGUACAGAUCUUGGUGGUAGUAGCAAAUAAUCGAAUGAGACCUUGGAGGACUGAAGUGGAGAAGGGUUUCGUGUGAACAGUGGUUGAUCACGAGUUAGUCGGUCCUAAGUUCAAGGCGAAAGCCGAAAAUUUUCAAGUAAAACAAAAAUGCCUAACUAUAUAAACAAAGCGAAUUAUAAUACACUUGAAUAAUUUUGAACGAAAGGGAAUACGGUUCCAAUUCCGUAACCUGUUGAGUAUCCGUUUGUUAUUAAAUAUGGGCCUCGUGCUCAUCCUGGCAACAGGAACGACCAUAAAGAAGCCGUCGAGAGAUAUCGGAAGAGUUUUCUUUUCUGUUUUAUAGCCGUACUACCAUGGAAGUCUUUCGCAGAGAGAUAUGGUAGAUGGGCUAGAAGAGCAUGACAUAUACUGUUGUGUCGAUAUUUUCUCCUCGGACCUUGAAAAUUUAUGGUGGGGACACGCAAACUUCUCAACAGGCCGUACCAAUAUCCGCAGCUGGUCUCCAAGGUGAAGAGUCUCUAGUCGAUAGAAUAAUGUAGGUAAGGGAAGUCGGCAAAUUAGAUCCGUAACUUCGGGAUAAGGAUUGGCUCUGAAGAUUGAGAUAGUCGGGCUUGAUUGGGAAACAAUAACAUGGUUUAUGUGCUCGUUCUGGGUAAAUAGAGUUUCUAGCAUUUAUGUUAGUUACUUGUUCCCCGGAUAGUUUAGUUACGUAGCCAAUUGUGGAACUUUCUUGCUAAAAUUUUUAAGAAUACUAUUUGGGUUAAACCAAUUAGUUCUUAUUAAUUAUAACGAUUAUCAAUUAACAAUCAAUUCAGAACUGGCACGGACUUGGGGAAUCCGACUGUCUAAUUAAAACAAAGCAUUGUGAUGGCCCUAGCGGGUGUUGACACAAUGUGAUUUCUGCCCAGUGCUCUGAAUGUCAAAGUGAAGAAAUUCAAGUAAGCGCGGGUCAACGGCGGGAGUAACUAUGACUCUCUUAAGGUAGCCUAAGAUGCAGACGGGCGAUUAUAAGGAGAAAAUAGAGCAGAUAAGAGGGCAAUCAGCUCUCGCCGGAAGUUGCUAAUCUAACAUAGGCGCCGCCUAGUAGAAGUGAGCAAGACCACCAAGUAACAACAUCGAAACAACUCAAUCACUCCCUUCGAACAGUCGAACAGGGAA
rnacentral:rRNA from 1 species